UAGAAUUGUAUAAAAGAAAACGUGACUAGAAGUUGACUAGCAUUGAGGUCUGACUAGAGUUGAGGUCUUGACAGACGGAACCUUAAGCAAGUUGCUGUGAUAACGGUUCUUGCCCUCCUGACCUGGUGUUCACCCACUGUGUUGAGUGACCCAGUUGUAUCGUAAUCUUUAUUCCUCAUCCAAGCUAGCUCUGCUAGAUUGAUGAUAGAUGAUCAGAAUUCAUGACUUUGUUUUAUCGAGACUGACACAAUAUACUCGUGGUCCAUACAGUCCACUACUCGAGUACCAACCAAGCUAUCAGUCACC